CCUCACCUCUUGCAAUGUCACGCUCCGUGUAUUUGACAAGCUGAGUUAGACACUCCAUAUGGAAGAGUGUCAGUUUGUCAAAUACCCCAAGUGCGGCAUAUGCUCAGCAU
rnacentral:pre_miRNA from 12 species